rnacentral:rRNA from 1 species
AACGAACGCUGGCGGCAGGCCUAACACAUGCAAGUCGAGCGAGGACUUCGGUUCUAGCGGCGGACGGGUGAGUAACGCGUGGGAAUGUGCCCUUCUCUACGGAAUAGCCCUGGGAAACUGGGAGUAAUACCGUAUACGCCCUACUGGGGAAAGAUUUAUCGGAGAAGGAUCAGCCCGCGUUGGAUUAGGUAGUUGGUGGGGUAAUGGCCUACCAAGCCGACGAUCCAUAGCUGGUUUGAGAGGAUGAUCAGCCACACUGGGACUGAGACACGGCCCAGACUCCUACGGGAGGCAGCAGUGGGGAAUCUUAGACAAUGGGGGCAACCCUGAUCUAGCCAUGCCGCGUGAGUGAUGAAGGCCUUAGGGUUGUAAAGCUCUUUCAGCUGGGAAUAUAAUGACGGUACCAGCAGAAGAAGCCCCGGCUAACUCCGUG